AUGUCACAAAAGGGGAGGGUUACACAAGAUUAGCAGAGGCAGCUAUGGAGAGCACGAGGCUGGAAUGUCAGGAUGACGAAGGCAAGGAGGAGGAUUUCCAAGACCAUGAGGAUCAAAGACUGAGGGGGAAGUGUCUGGAUGAUAUUGUGGAGCCAGACUGGCAGGAUGACAGAGUGGAGAGGCUAAGGGAGACAUGGGGAAAUGCCGUAGGUGGGAACUUCAGGCAGAAGCACACCAGCGAGGGCAAAGCUGGCUGGGAGUAGGGGAGGAUAGCUUGGAAGGGGAAGGCGGGGAGAUUGGAAGACAGAGUUCCCAGGAUGAAAGGCAGCGGAUUAGGGGUGUAGUGGCGUUGGUGAGAACUUGAAUUGCUGAGUUUCUCUUUGUGUUUUGAAUCUAACCUUAUUUUUCAAAUCUACUCCUUACCCUUCCUUUCACUAAUGGUAACUUAGCCAAAAUAUGCAUCACUUUCAAUGCUAUAAAAUGUCUGCAGAAACGUGAACUCUGCACAUGCACAGAGGCUAUGUCAGCUUAAAAACAAAAAGAGAAAAGGGGGGAGAAAGGAGGUUUGGAGAGAGUGGACUGCAGGGAUUGUGUACAAUUCGAAACCAUUGAGGGAGAUCAGCUUUAUGUAUCCUUUGCUCAUUGCCAAGUUCUUUUCUAACAUACCAAGUGCUUUUCACAGCUAACCAAGAUAACUCCAGGAGAUUUUUUAGGGAGGGGCUUUUUACCCCUUCCUUCUUUUCUAAUUCUGUCUUUUAAGUCCCUAAAAGGCCCUGCCCCCUACAGCAUAUCACUUCUAUAGAUGUUGUUGCAGACGCGAUGAUGGGGAACCCUAAGCCCAACUCCUCCUGACUACAAGACUAUUUAUUACCUACAGCAGCAGCAACAACAACAACAAAGACACAGGAGCCUGGCCACAACUCUUUCCUUUCAAAGGAUAAUGACUGAGAUGGAGUGGGGCUAACGAAGGGGGGAGGAGUUGAAUUGUAAGGGCAUUUUUGUCACUUUUGAACCUCAAGACUGUGCUCCAGGAUUGACAAGAAGAUCACAAUUGCCUCAAGAUAUGCAACUGAUGUCUAAUUAGUUUGUCGUGUAUUACGUGUUAUUUAUGUAGGAAUGUUGGAAUAUGUUUGACAGUGUGUUAUUUCCACGGAAAGGAAAAGAAUUUUUAUGUGUAAUUUUCUGGUUGUUGUUGUUUAAUGUAUAGUGUCUUAUUGCUUACACCCCUGUGGAGGAUUCUCAUGCUUUCUAAUGGUUCAGGCUAUUGUGUAAUCCACUCUUUAGAUUUGAUCACUGAAAAAUAUGGUAUUUUGUUAGUUGCUCCUUGGGACUUUUUAUCAACAAGUGCCUUUGAAAUGUUUUAAAUAAAAAUUGAGGUGUACUUAACAGUA